rnacentral:tRNA from 1 species
UCCCUGGUGGGCCAGUGGUUAAGACUCUGCACUCCCAACGCAGGGGGCCCAGGUUCAAUCCCUGGUCAGGGAC